rnacentral:rRNA from 1 species
UACGGAGGGAGCUAGCGUUGUUCGGAAUUACUGGGCGUAAAGCGCACGUAGGCGGCUUUUCAAGUCAGGGGUGAAAUCCCGGGGCUCAACCUCGGAACUGCCCUUGAAACUGGAAGGCUAGAAUCCUGGAGAGGCGAGUGGAAUUCCGAGUGUAGAGGUGAAAUUCGUAGAUAUUCGCAAGAACACCAGUGGCGAAGGCGGCUUACUGGCCCGGUACUGACACUGAGGCACGAAAGCGUGGGGAGCAAACAGGAUUAGAAACCCCAGUAGU